AGCGAACGCUGGCGGCAGGCCUAACACAUGCAAGUCGAACGAACCUUUCGGGGUUAGUGGCGGACGGGGGAAUAACACGUGGGAACGUGCCUUUAGGUUCGGAAUAACUCAGGGAAACUUGUGCUAAUACCGAAUGUGCCCUUCGGGGGAAAGAUUAAUCGCCUUUAGAGCGGCCCGCGUCUGAUUAGCUAGUUGGUUGAGGUAAUGGCUCACCAAGGCGACGAUCAGUAGCUGGUCUGAGAGGAUGAUCAGCCACAUUGGGACUGAGACACGGCCCAAACUCCUACGGGAGGCAGCAGUGGGGAAUCUUGCGCAAUGGGCGAAAGCCAGACGCAGCCAUGCCGCGUGAAUGAUGAAGGUCUUAGGAUUGUAAAAUUCUUUCACCGGGGACGAUAAUGACGGUACCCGGAGAAGAAGCCCCGGCUAACUUCGUG
rnacentral:rRNA from 1 species